rnacentral:rRNA from 1 species
AGAUUGAACGCUGGCGGCAGACCUAACACAUGCAAGUCGAGCGGCAGCACGGGUACUUGUACCUGGUGGCGAGCGGCGGACGGGUGAGUAAUGCCUAGGAAUCUGCCUGAUAGUGGGGGAUAACGUUCGGAAACGGACGCUAAUACCGCAUACGUCCUACGGGAGAAGUGGGGGAUCUUCGGACCUCACGCUAUCAGAUGAGCCUAGGUCGAUUAGCUAGUGGUAGGUAAGGCCUACCAAGGCUACGAUCCGUAACUGGUCUGGAGAGGGAUGAUCAGUCACACUAGGAACUGAGACACGGUCCAGACUCCUACGGGAGGCAGGCAGGUGGGAAUAUUGGACGAAAUGGGACGGAAAGCCCGUUGGAACUCCGAACGCCC